rnacentral:rRNA from 1 species
UACAGAGGGGGCAAGCGUUGUUCGGAAUUACUGGGCGUAAAGGGCGCGUAGGCGGCCUGUUAAGUCGAACGUGAAAUCCCCGGGCUCAACCCGGGAACUGCGUCCGAUACUGGCAGGCUUGAAUUCGGGAGAGGGAUGCGGAAUUCCAGGUGUAGCGGUGAAAUGCGUAGAGAUCGGAAGGAACGUCGAUGGCGAAGGCAGCCACCUGGCAUAAUACUGACGCUGAGGCGCGAAAGCGUGGGUAGCGAACAGG